rnacentral:rRNA from 1 species
CACUCCUACGGGAGGCAGCAGUGGGGAAUAUUGCACAAUGGGCGCAAGCCUGAUGCAGCCAUGCCGCGUGUAUGAAGAAGGCCUUCGGGUUGUAAAGUACUUUCAGCGGGGAGGAAGGUGUUGAGGUUAAUAACCUCAGCAAUUGACGUUACCCGCAGAAGAAGCACCGGCUAACUCCGUGCCAGCAGCCGCGGUAAUACGGAGGGUGCAAGCGUUAAUCGGAAUUACUGGGCGUAAAGCGCACGCAGGCGGUCUGUCAAGUCGGAUGUGAAAUCCCCGGGCUCAACCUGGGAACUGCAUUCGAAACUGGCAGGCUAGAGUCUUGUAGAGGGGGGUAGAAUUCCAGGUGUAGCGGUGAAAUGCGUAGAGAUCUGGAGGAAUACCGGUGGCGAAGGCGGCCCCCUGGACAAAGACUGACGCUCAGGUGCGAAAGCGUGGGGAGCAAACAGGAUUAGAAACCCUAGUAGUCCCAUGA